rnacentral:rRNA from 1 species
AGCGAACGCUGGCGGCAGGCCUAACACAUGCAAGUCGAACGGAUCCUUCGGGAUUAGUGGCGGACGGGUGAGUAACACGUGGGAACGUGCCCUUUGGUUCGGAACAACUCAGGGAAACUUGAGCUAAUACCGGAUGUGCCCUUCGGGGGAAAGAUUUAUCGCCCUUGGAGCGGCCCGCGUCGGAUUAGCUAGUUGGUGAGGUAACGGCCCACCAAGGCGACGAUCAGUAGCUGGUCUGAGAGGAUGAUCAGCCACACUGGGACUGAGACACGGCCCAGACUCCUACGGGAGGCAGCAGUGGGGAAUCUUGCGCAAUGGGCGAAAGCCUGACGCAGCCAUGCCGCGUGAAUGAUGAAGGUCUUAGGAUUGUAAAAUUCUUUCAGCGGGGACGAUAAUGACGGUACCCGCAGAAGAAGCUCCGGCUAACUUCGUG